GGAUCCUUUAAAUAGUGCCAGACACGUCCCAAAGUGCGGCCCAGUCCAAAAGAAUCAAAUCAGAGCAGAAUCAAAGCUCGUCCGGGCGUGAAUCAAGGGUUCUAUAAGGCUUGGGCGCCAGUUUUCAGCACCUGGGCUACGAGCGUCCGUCGCCCGGGUGUCGGGUCCGUCGCCCGGGCGACCAGCGGUGAUUUUCAACUUGUUGUUUCGCGUUUCUGUCGCCUGGUCUCCGCCUGGGCUUCGGGUUUCCUCCCUUCUUGGUGUCUUUUUUACCCCUUUUGAGCUCCAUCUUCAUGACUUUUCACUUCUUCUUCCAUUAUUACUUCAAUCUCUGUCAAAACAAGGGGAAUUUGUUAGAAAACAAUUAAAAUCAACCUCAACUCUCUUAUUCACACAAUUUACUGAAAAUGUAUGAGUUCAAGCAAGUUUCUAAGUAAAAAGGGUGCUUUUAGUAUCAAAACCACAUAGCAAUAACGGUAUUUUAGUCCGUUAUUAGGUACCUCCUCGUGGAGCCUAACACCUCCUAUAAUGUGUUGAUCGGGUAGCCAUACCUCAAGUUCGAGACAAUUAUCUCCACCCUCUACUGUUGACUCACUGGAAAGCGUACCAGAUCGUUCCAAGUAAUAUAAUUGCUGUAACCCAAUAUCGUUCUCUCCCAAAGGACUCACGACCUUAUCGUUCGUGUGAAUUAAAAUAGUAAGACUUGUAAAGAAAAAGAUUAAUUGUUUGGAAUGCAAGAACACAAAAUAAAAGUGCAAUGUGGUUGAUUCAAUUGACGAAAAAGACUAUGGAUGAAUGGAGUUGUUGGGGGUUUACAAUUUCAUCUUAUCCACCCUCUCUUAUCUACUCCUCUUGUUUAAAUUGCUUUGUUAUCUAAUCGUUAUGCAAACUUUCUUGGCCUACCCUUAGCCCGAUCCCUCGGCGAAAAGAGACUAUUACUAAUUACCGGCUUGUUAUCCCUAGCCU
rnacentral:lncRNA from 1 species